CGGCCAGCUGACGGCCACGCGGUGGGGUCUAACGACAGCAUCAUGUGAUGUGCACUGCGUCUACUCGGACGGUCCACACUGCUGCCCGUGGCAUUCCCCUGAGACAGUAGCCCCGCCCCCAUCAUAACCAGCACACCGGCUCACAGAGAAGGGAGAGAGAAGGAGGAAGAGGAGGAGUCAGAAAGCACUCAAUAAACUGAUCAGAGAGAGGGAGGAACGUGGGAGGAAGAGAAGAGGAUCUGUGUGCUGUACUUUGUUCCUCUUAAAAGGGUGACUUUAAAGCACGCGGCGUGGUCAGGCGGUGUGGUUACAUGUGAGGGGGUGGUUGGGUCAGGCGGUGUGCUCUAUGUGUAGAGGGCGGUACUACCUGUGACUGGACCCGGAACCCGACAAGAGUUAAACAUCCUCUCAAACUGAUCGGAGCAGAAGGGGGCGGAAGACCUUAGCACUCUCUGCCUCAGAGAGAGAGAGAGAGAGAGAGAGAGAGAGAGAGCAAGGAACAAGGAGAUAAACAAGAAGAAGGAAGUGAGAAGAGAGCGAAAGUGCAGCAGUAACAGAGAGGUUAAAUGAAGGGUGGAUCAACAGAAGGGGUGAAUCUGUGCAGACGUGGAAGAAAAGGAAUAAAAGCUGGACGGAUGAUAGGUGAAAGGAGAAGUGUGUGUUCAGGGACAUAGACGGAACUGAGAUCAGCCUCAGAGAGUCACACACACACACACACACACACACACACACACACACACACACACACACACACACACACACACACAUAUAUAAACACACACACACACG